rnacentral:rRNA from 1 species
UAAGUGAAUAGUGAAAUCUGGUGGCUCAACCAUCAACCCAUUAUUCAAACUGAACUGCUCGAGAACGAGAGAGGUCACUGGAAUUCCCUGUGUAGGAGUGAAAUCCGUAGAUAUAGGGAGGAACACCAAUGGCGUAGGCAGGUGACUGGCUCGUUUCUGACACUGAGGCACGAAAGCGUGGGGAGCGAACGGGAUUAGAUACCCCGGUAGUCCACGCCGUAAACGAUGGAUGCUA